UUUGAUUUACUGAAAUAGACAGACAUAUGUUGCAAUAGUUAACACAUUUGAUGCAAUAGGUUAUACGAAAGUUGUAACAGAUGUAUAUAUCUAUUUGAUAAUUUUUAGGAGAUGCAUAAUUUGUUGAAAUAGACGUGUUUUUUUGUUUAUUAGAACAGAUAAUAUACAUUCACCUUCUUCAGCUCAUGCUGCUCUCCUG
rnacentral:lncRNA from 1 species